GGCCGCGGGAAUUCGAUUCAGGCCUAACACAUGCAAGUCGAACGGCACCCACCUCCGGGUGGAAGCGAGUGGCGAACGGCUGAGUAACACGUGGAGAACCUGCCCCCUCCCCCGGGAUAGCCGCCCGAAAGGACGGGUAAUACCGGAUACCCCGGGGUGCCGCAUGGCGCCCCGGCUAAAGCCCCGACGGGAGGGGAUGGCUCCGCGGCCCAUCAGGUAGACGGCGGGGUGACGGCCCACCGUGCCGACAACGGGUAGCCGGGUUGAGAGACCGACCGGCCAGAUUGGGACUGAGACACGGCCCAGACUCCUACGGGAGGCAGCAGUGGGGAAUCUUGCGCAAUGGGGGGAACCCUGACGCAGCGACGCCGCGUGCGGGAUAGGGGCCUUCGGGUCGUAAACCGCUUUCAGCAGGGAAGAGUCAAGA
rnacentral:rRNA from 1 species